UACGUAGGUGGCAAGCGUUGUCCGGAUUUAUUGGGUUUAAAGGGUGCGUAGGCGGCCCUGUAAGUCAGUGGUGAAAUACUCCAGCUUAACUGGAGGGGUGCCAUUGAUACUGCAGGGCUUGAGUACAGAUGAAGUAGGCGGAAUUGACGGUGUAGCGGUGAAAUGCAUAGAUAUCGUCAAGAACUCCGAUAGCGAAGGCAGCUUACUAAGCUGUAACUGACGCUGAGGCACGAAAGUGUGGGGAUCAAACAGG
rnacentral:rRNA from 2 species